rnacentral:rRNA from 1 species
GACGAACGCUGGCGGCGUGCUUAACACAUGCAAGUCGAACGGAAAGGCCCUGCUUGCAGGGUACUCGAGUGGCGAACGGGUGAGUAACACGUGGGUGAUCUGCCCUGCACUUCGGGAUAAGCUUGGGAAACUGGGUCUAAUACCGGAUAGGAACCAUCUUUAGUGUGGUGGUUGGAAAGUUUUUUCGGUGUAGGAUGAGCUCGCGGCCUAUCAGCUUGUUGGUGGGGUAAUGGCCUACCAAGGCGGCGACGGGUAGCCGGCCUGAGAGGGUGUACGGCCACAUUGGGACUGAGAUACGGCCCAGACUCCUACGGGAGGCAGCAGUGGGGAAUAUUGCACAAUGGGCGCAAGCCUGAUGCAGCGACGCCGCGUGGGGGAUGAAGGCCUUCGGGUUGUAAACUCCCUUCGCUAGGGACGAAGCUUUUUGUGACGGUACCUAGAGAAGAAGCACCGGCUAACUACGUG